UACGGAGGAUCCGAGCGUUAUCCGGAUUUAUUGGGUUUAAAGGGUGUGCAGGCGGGAGAUUAAGUCGGCGGUGAAAUUUUGCAGCUCAACUGUAAAAGUGCCUUCGAAACUGGUUUCCUUGAGUGUAGAUGAAGUAGGCGGAAUUUGUGGUGUAGCGGUGAAAUGCAUAGAUAUCACGAGGAACUCCGAUUGCGCAGGCAGCUUACGAAACUACUACUGACGCUCAGGCACGAAGGCGUGGGGAUCAAACAGGAUUAGAUACCCUGGUA
rnacentral:rRNA from 1 species